GGGUUGUGAGGUUAAGCGACUAAGCGUACACGGUGGAUGCCCUGGCAGUCAGAGGCGAUGAAGGACGUGCUAAUCUGCGAAAAGCGUCGGUAAGGUGAUAUGAACCGUUAUAACCGGCGAUGUCCGAAUGGGGAAACCCAGUGCAAUUCGUUGCACUAUCGUUAACUGAAUACAUAGGUUAACGAGGCGAACCGGGGGAACUGAAACAUCUAAGUACCCCGAGGAAAAGAAAUCAACCGAGAUUCCCCCAGUAGCGGCGAGCGAACGGGGAGCAGCCCAGAGUCUGAAUCAGCUUGUGUGUUAGUGGAACGGUCUGGAAAGUCCGACGGUACAGGGUGAUAGUCCCGUACACCAAAAUGCACAGGCUGUGAACUCGAAGAGUAGGGCGGGACACGUGGUAUCCUGUCUGAAUAUGGGGGGACCAUCCUCCAAGGCUAAAUACUCCUGACUGACCGAUAGUGAACCAGUACCGUGAGGGAAAGGCGAAAAGAACCCCGGCGAGGGGAGUGAAAAAGAACCUGAAACCGUGUACGUACAAGCAGUGGGAGCACCUUCGGGUGUGACUGCGUACCUUUUGUAUAAUGGGUCAGCGACUUAUAUUCUGUAGCAAGGUUAACCGUAUAGGGGAGCCGCAGGGAAACCGAGUCUUAACUGGGCGUUAAGUUGCAGGGUAUAGACCCGAAACCCGGUGAUCUAGCCAUGGGCAGGUUGAAGGUUGGGUAACACUAACUGGAGGACCGAACCGACUAAUGUUGAAAAAUUAGCGGAUGACUUGUGGCUGGGGGUGAAAGGCCAAUCAAACCGGGAGAUAGCUGGUUCUCCCCGAAAGCUAUUUAGGUAGCGCCUCGUGAAUUCAUCUUCGGGGGUAGAGCACUGUUUCGGCUAGGGGGUCAUCCCGACUUACCAACCCGAUGCAAACUACGAAUACCGAAGAAUGUUAUCACGGGAGACACACGGCGGGUGCUAACGUCCGUCGUGAAGAGGGAAACAACCCAGACCGCCAGCUAAGGUCCCAAAGUCAUGGUUAAGUGGGAAACGAUGUGGGAAGGCACAGACAGCCAGGAUGUUGGCUUAGAAGCAGCCAUCAUUUAAAGAAAGCGUAAUAGCUCACUGGUCGAGUCGGCCUGCGCGGAAGAUGUAACGGGGCUAAACCAUGCACCGAAGCUGCGGCAGCGACACUAUGUGUUGUUGGGUAGGGGAGCGUUCUGUAAGCCUGCGAAGGUGACCUGUGAGGGUUGCUGGAGGUAUCAGAAGUGCGAAUGCUGACAUAAGUAACGAUAAAGCGGGUGAAAAGCCCGCUCGCCGGAAGACCAAGGGUUCCUGUCCAACGUUAAUCGGGGCAGGGUGAGUCGACCCCUAAGGCGAGGCCGAAAGGCGUAGUCGAUGGGAAACAGGUUAAUAUUCCUGUACUUGGUGUUACUGCGAAGGGGGGACGGAGAAGGCUAUGUUAGCCGGGCGACGGUUGUCCCGGUUUAAGCAUGUAGGCUGGUUAUCCAGGCAAAUCCGGAUAAUCAAGGCUGAGGUGUGAUGACGAGGCACUACGGUGCUGAAGUAACAAAUGCCCUGCUUCCAGGAAAAGCCUCUAAGCAUCAGGUAACAUCAAAUCGUACCCCAAACCGACACAGGUGGUCAGGUAGAGAAUACCAAGGCGCUUGAGAGAACUCGGGUGAAGGAACUAGGCAAAAUGGUGCCGUAACUUCGGGAGAAGGCACGCUGGUGUGUAGGUGAAGCCCCUGCGGGUGGAGCUGAGACCAGUCGAAGAUACCAGCUGGCUGCAACUGUUUAUUAAAAACACAGCACUGUGCAAACACGAAAGUGGACGUAUACGGUGUGACGCCUGCCCGGUGCCGGAAGGUUAAUUGAUGGGGUUAUCCGUAAGGAGAAGCUCUUGAUCGAAGCCCCGGUAAACGGCGGCCGUAACUAUAACGGUCCUAAGGUAGCGAAAUUCCUUGUCGGGUAAGUUCCGACCUGCACGAAUGGCGUAAUGAUGGCCAGGCUGUCUCCACCCGAGACUCAGUGAAAUUGAACUCGCUGUGAAGAUGCAGUGUACCCGCGGCAAGACGGAAAGACCCCGUGAACCUUUACUAUAGCUUGACACUGAACAUUGAGCCUUGAUGUGUAGGAUAGGUGGGAGGCUUUGAAGCGUGGACGCCAGUCUGCGUGGAGCCAACCUUGAAAUACCACCCUUUAAUGUUUGAUGUUCUAACGUUGGCCCCUUACCGGGGUUGCGGACAGUGUCUGGUGGGUAGUUUGACUGGGGCGGUCUCCUCCCAAAGCGUAACGGAGGAGCACGAAGGUUAGCUAAUCCUGGUCGGACAUCAGGAGGUUAGUGCAAUGGCAUAAGCUAGCUUGACUGCGAGCGUGACGGCGCGAGCAGGUGCGAAAGCAGGUCAUAGUGAUCCGGUGGUUCUGAAUGGAAGGGCCAUCGCUCAACGGAUAAAAGGUACUCCGGGGAUAACAGGCUGAUACCGCCCAAGAGUUCAUAUCGACGGCGGUGUUUGGCACCUCGAUGUCGGCUCAUCACAUCCUGGGGCUGAAGUAGGUCCCAAGGGUAUGGCUGUUCGCCAUUUAAAGUGGUACGCGAGCUGGGUUUAGAACGUCGUGAGACAGUUCGGUCCCUAUCUGCCGUGGGCGCUGGAGAAUUGAGGGGGGCUGCUCCUAGUACGAGAGGACCGGAGUGGACGCAUCACUGGUGUUCGGGUUGUCAUGCCAAUGGCACUGCCCGGUAGCUAAAUGCGGAAGAGAUAAGUGCUGAAAGCAUCUAAGCACGAAACUUGCCCCGAGAUGAGUUCUCCCUGAGACUUUAAGUCUCCUGAAGGAACGUUAAAGACGAUGACGUUGAUAGGCCGGGUGUGUAAGCGCAGCGAUGCGUUGAGCUAACCGGUACUAAUGAACCGUGAGGCUUAACCUUACAACGCCGAAG
rnacentral:rRNA from 1 species